rnacentral:rRNA from 1 species
GAGCGAUACUACCUGCGUGUAUUGCUAAACCAUGUUACGGGCAAAACAUCCUUCGACGAUUUGCUCACCGUGGACGGCGUGCUAUGUGGCAGCUUUAGAGAGGCUGCUGAACGGUUAGGUCUUAUUGAGGCAGACAGCACGCUCGAUGACUGUCUUAAUGAGGCUAAGCAGUGGGCGAUGCCAUGUUCUCUUAGGAGGCUCUUUGCAACCAUCUUGGUGCACUGCGAGCCAGGCGACGUGCAAGGUUUAUGGGAUAGGCAUCUCGAGCCAAUGUCAGAUGACUAUCGUCGAACACGCACGUCCCCGCACGAGGUGGAGCAGUUGGUGUUGCUUGACAUUAGGGGUAUGUUGCAGUCCAUGGGUAAAGACAUUGUUGAUUUUGCUCUUCCA